rnacentral:rRNA from 1 species
GAUGAACGCUGGCGGCGUGCUUAACACAUGCAAGUCGAACGGAAAGGCCCCUGCUUGCAGGGGUACUCGAGUGGCGAACGGGUGAGUAACACGUGGGUGAUCUGCCCUGCACUUCGGGAUAAGUCUGGGAAACUGGGUCUAAUACCGGAUAGGACGAUGGUUUGGAUGCCAUUGUGGAAAGUUUUUCGGUGGGGGAUGAGCUCGCGGCCUAUCAGCUUGUUGGUGGGGUAGUGGCCUACCAAGGCGUCGACGGGUAGCCGGCCUGAGAGGGUGUACGGCCACAUUGGGACUGAGAUACGGCCCAGACUCCUACGGGAGGCAGCAGUGGGGAAUAUUGCACAAUGGGCGCAAGCCUGAUGCAGCGACGCCGCGUGGGGGAUGACGGCCUUCGGGUUGUAAACUGCUUUCGCUAGGGACGAAGCGCAAGUGACGGUACCUGGAGAAGAAGCACCGGCUAACUACGUG